rnacentral:rRNA from 1 species
UACGUAGGGUGCGAGCGUUAAUCGGAAUUACUGGGCGUAAAGCGUGCGUAGGCGGUUCGCUGUGUCCGAUGUGAAAGCCCCGGGCUUAACCUGGGAAUGGCAUUGGAAACUGGCGGGCUUGAGUGCGGCAGAGGGGGAUGGAAUUCCGCGUGUAGCAGUGAAAUGCGUAGAUAUGCGGAGGAACACCGAUGGCGAAGGCAAUCCCCUGGGCCUGCACUGACGCUCAUGCACGAAAGCGUGGGGAGCAAACAGG